rnacentral:lncRNA from 1 species
AGAGGAGGACGAUAUUAAGGGAGGGGAUUCUGCAUGCUUUGUUUGCAACAAACAAAUUGUAGCAGGCUUUCCUACAUAUACUUGCAUUCAUGAUGUCGAUGUUGAUUGUCAAAAUUUCUACCUCCACAAGACUUGUACAGAAUUCCCCUUGCAGCUGAACCACCAUAAGCACAACAAGCACUCCCUUGCUUUUCUGCCAGCUCCUGAUUGCGUUUGUGAUGUUUGUUUUCAUGCUUUAAAGUUUGCUUAUGCGUGUGAUGAUUGUAAGUUUCAUGUGUGUGUGUUCUGUGCUUUCGAACAGAGAGUGCUUAGUCAUCAAGGUCAUCCGGAGCACGCACUGACAUUGAUCAAGAGGGAGUCCUUGUUCACCUGUGAUGCUUGUUACGAGGAAGCCAAAGAGUCUUCGUAUUUGUGCCUCACCUGUGACUUCUGGAUCCACAAGACUUGUGCUCUUUCCCCUUCCACUAUUCAAGCUUCUAAUCACCUUUACAUUUGUUUUAGAGAGGCCUAAGAAAAAAGGCUUCCUAUACAAGUGUAGCAAUUGUGCUGACUCCUAUGAAUUUGGUGUAUUUUUUAGAUGUGACGGGUGUGGAUAUCUUGCCUGCUAUGGAUGUGUCAAUAAGGUUCAUUGCCAGAAAUGCACAUACUUUGCGCACAUCAAAUGUGCCACAUCCUCGGUUAUAAUGUGAGUACCCUUUCUUAUUUUGAUUCUUUGUUAUAUAGACCAAUUAUUUCAUAAUUUAUCACGAGCUUCAUGUCUGACGAUUAUCAGCUCUAAUAUAAAUUAUUUAUAUCCAGAAAUGAGAUUGAAGCAGAGGACAUUGAUAAUGAACUUGCUUUGGUCCAAUUUCCUUUGCCUAGCAAGGAGUCACUGUUUGAUCUUAUCAUCACCCAGUAUUACCAAGGUGAAAGCUUUAUCACUUGGUCAAGAAGGCUCUAUAAUCCUCUUACUCUUAUUUUCGAGCACUGGAGUCACCCCGAUCAUCCAUUACAAAAGCUCCGUUUUAGUGUUUCUGAGGAUGACGACGAUGACAGUGAUGAUGAUGCAGCCUUGUUGAUAUGCGAUGGGUGCAUUCAGCCCAUAACCCUUUCUCAUCCAACUUACUAUGCUUGUAUCCAAUGUGGUUACUUUCUCCACUCCUUUUGUGCAACAGAGUUGCCACCAGAGUUGCCUGCAGGAGCAUCCACGUUUCACCCUCAACAUCCGCUCAUGCUCUGGAAGAGGAGCAUUUCGGCCUUUGGUCUUGUGACAUGUGGAGCAUGCGCCAGCGAAACGAAUGGAUUCUUCUAUCACUGUAAGACUUGUGAUAUUAGAGUUGAUAUCCGUUGUGCAUUCUUACCCACCAGGAUUAAACAUAUAUCUCACAAGCACUCUCUUGUUCAGCGUCCAUUUUCUGAACCCAUGUGUAGCAUAAGUAAGAUUACAAUUACAGGUGGCCUGGUAUAUGGGUGUGAAACUUGCAGUGACGUACAUAUUAGUAUACUUUGUGUAUUUUUGCCAAGCAUUGUCAAACACAGGUUUGAUAGUCACCCGAUAACGUUGAGACUUCCUCCAUUUUUCUACGAAGGAGUUUUCUACUGUGAAUUAUGCGAAGAACAAGUUAACAAUCAAUGGCCACUCUAUCACUGUGAUGAAUCUGAUCAUUCUUUUCAUUAUAACUGCUUUGAUCUUCUUCCGAACAUCAAAUUUGGAGGGACCAUUGAACUUGAUAUUGACCAUCGGCCGCACACAUUUACAUUUGUUUUAGAGAGGCCUAAGAAAAAAGGCUUCCUAUACAAGUGUAGCAAUUGUGCUGACUCCUAUGAAUUUGGUGUAUUUUUUAGAUGUGACGGGUGUGGAUAUCUUGCCUGCUAUGGAUGUGUCAAUAAGGUGCUGGGCGGAACUUCACCCAAUGAAUUUGUAAUUCCCGAAUAGAAAAGUUAUUGCAUUGUACUAUUAGUUCUUUUUUCUUCUUCUUUAAGCUUGUCUGUGUUAUUCUAUACUUACAAGACUUGUCAUAUUAUUUCCUUUAAAUCCAUUGUGCAUUCUUAUAGUAAUUACAUAUUCUUACAAGGGAACCUGAGUCGGUCUAUCGUCAGAUGACAUUGUAAUCCCUUUUCAUCUAUAACUAGAAAGGGAUACUAUGAUUUUUAUUUUCAUAUUAAAAGUUUUAAAAGUUUUUACGGCUUCUGAUGCCAACUAGAAAGUUCUCAUGUUAUUCGGCAGUUCAGCGUUUUGAGAAAUUGCUAAAGCUUUCUGCAGCACUUAUAAUUUGGAAACUUUGAGAAAUAUUAGUGAACUGAGUAUUUUAUAGAUCGAACUAAUGAUUUGUUACCCAGGUAUUUUAAUGAUUCUAGUAUUCUAUAGAUCGAAAGGAAUUUCGGGUAACGGGUCGUGUUCGUGUCAGCAAUCGGGUCAAUUUCAGGUAAAGCUAAAAUCACUUACAAUUAAAGAAAACUGAAAGUUGAAGUUAUUAAAAAUGAAAUUCUAAUUUCGGGUCAUUUCAGGUCCAUUUCGUGUCAAUCGGGUGAUUUUCGGAUCACUUUCGAGUUUUGUCUUAGUAAAUCGGAUUACAGGUUCGGGUCGAGUUCGGAUCGUGUCUGAUAUUGUCACCCCCUGCAUGUGAUUAAGUUUGACGCAGGCCCGGCUCAAUCAAAAUUGAGGCCUAUGCUAAAUUUAAAUGGUGCCUUUUAAUAAAAAAAAACAUCACAUAAAUGUUAUUCUAUUUUAAAUUAAUUUGAAACUUAAAAUAAGAAAAACGUCAAAUAAAAUAUACAUCGUCUGAGUAGCAUAUUUAUAUUUUUAUUAAAUAAAUUAAUUUAUUUAACACAAAAAAUAAAUAAUAGUUAUAAUAUAUAAUAUGUGACAAGAAUAAAAAUUAUAUUUAUAUUAAUUAUUCACUAAAAAUAUUUAGCAAAUCAAUACCAAAAAUUCAAAAAUUAAUUUAAUAAAUAAUAAUCAAUACUAACAUAAGAAUAUAUAAUAUCAGUUUAUAUUUAAUAAUAAUAAUAUUAAUGAUAAUCAACUAACUAUAAAAAAAUAUAUAAAUCAAGGAUUUUAAUAAACAUAGAAUGAAAAAUAAAAUUAAUUGUAUAUGUGUAGAAAUAUUACAGCUUAAAAAUUCGGGGCCCUCCAAAUCUUGAGCCCCUGUGCCGAAGGGCUUCUUGCACACCCUAAUCACCGGCCCCGGAGACAGGUUGAGUUCCCUAUCUUGGGAAAGCUGUGCUCUUUGGUGUUUCCUUGUUGUCAAACAGCUUUGGAACUGUUUCACUGCAACUGACCCGGUCACUCUCCGGGUCAGUUUCUUCCACCUCUCCUCACCACUCCACCCCAACCUGGAGAUAUGUACACUGCAACUGUGCUCAGCACGAGCGGCUCAAGACCAAUAACUCCUGUCCAAGAGCUCCUGUUUUGUGUGUACCAGCUGCUUCUUCCCAGAAUAAGCAAGCCACAUAUUUGGGCAGGGCGUAUAAAAAGGUAUUUCCCGAGUCUCUUAAUACUUUUUCUUUUUGUCUUUAUCACGUUUGAUAACACAUGCUUUUACUCGUUAAUAUUUUUAAUUUUGCAUUCUUACUAAAUAUAAAAACUUCACCAUACUCAUGAGAAUGAAUCCAACAAGAUCACUCAUGACUAUAUUUGAUUAUAUAGAUUUCAUGUAAAUUAGUAAUUUGCUUCAUUUUAUGAACAGUCCCGACAUAUUAAACAAGAAAAGUAAUUAGAGACGGAGUGAGCAGUAAUUAAUAUGCUAUUUGCAUUGAGAAUACAAGAAAAUAGAACAGGUACCUUACAAUGCAUGAGAAAAGGACACAACUAAAAACGAGGUGAUGACUUGGCCUACGUUAGGCAAUUUGGUAAGGUCGGAUGAACAACAUGCAGUAAAUUGAUUGCUUUCCUGGAUACAUCAUUGGAUGAUCAGAUUGCAUAUUGUUAUGCAAUCAGGCUGCUUUCACAUCGGAACACUAUCUGUUACUCGUACUCCCUCCGUCCCCCUGAAUUCUAUAUAUUGGCGGGCGGAGAAGUGUGUGAAUCCUCCUGUAAAAUAUAGUUGUAUGAUUUUAAAUUUUUAUUCAGAAAGAGAAAAUUUUAAAAAUAAGUUAUAGAACUAUAUAUUUUAUACGAGCAUUAGAGGGCAUGCCGAGCAAUGAAAGAAAAACGUAUAGAUUUGAGUGGGACGGAGGGAGUAUGGAUCAACCAGGUGGAUGUCAGUGUUCAUAUGCUGCCGGUCCACUUAAAAGCUACCUUGAAAACCUUUCUCAACUUCAGUCACUUCUUUACCAGUUUUUACAAGUAAACACUCCCUCUAUGACUUGAACUGAGAUAAGAAAACUGCCUUGUCAAUAAAAUAACUGUAAUACAGUGAAUGAUUAGUUUUUUUUCUUCAAAAGUGUUCCCUAGUUAGUCUGUUAUUUAGCUUUUAAGUGAAGUGUAACAAAAAGUAGUCAUGUAAAUAGAAAUCACGAAAUAUAAAAAAUAAGAGAACAGAAUAUAUGACUAAGAAACACUCCAUUGCAUCUAUUCAGUCAGUUCACUUACUUAUGUUCUUCCCUCUGGCCUCUGCUCCUAAACUAGACCACUUAUUAUAGUAUUCAGCCACUAGCACUUGUUAACGAGGCUCAACCAUGAUUGUCGGAUCUCGCGAUCAAGAUUGGGUGCAAUGGCACGUGGUAUAGCAUCAUAUAACAUGCAGCUGAUCCUGAAUCUACUCCAAAAUAUAAUAAACAAGAGGCUUACAGUUAACUGAUGAUACUAUAUGAAGUUGCCAUUGACUUUACUAUGUCUAUAUAUAUCUGUGUGUGCUCUAGGCCUAAUAGUAAUCAUCCCAUUUGUAGAUCUUCCCCUCGCCCAAAAUGAUUUCUGUAUAUGAGUUGUGUAGUGGCAAGUCUAGGUAUGGUGGGCACACAUUAAAAUUGAAAGAGGAUGAUAUUGUUGGAGAGGAUGCAAACUGCAUUGGUUGCGAGAAAUCAAUAAAAGGCUCUCCUACAUAUAUCUGCAGUGUUAGUCAUGAUGAUCUUGAUUGUCGAGGAUUCUACUUGCACAAGAGCUGUGCAGAAUUGUCCAUACGAGAUGACUACCAUGGACACCCGCUAAGACUAAUUGAAGAGGAGGACGAUAUUAAGGGAGGGGAUUCUGCAUGCUUUGUUUGCAACAAACAAAUUGUAGCAGGCUUUCCUACAUAUACUUGCAUUCAUGAUGUCGAUGUUGAUUGUCAAAAUUUCUACCUCCACAAGACUUGUACAGAAUUCCCCUUGCAGCUGAACCACCAUAAGCACAACAAGCACUCCCUUGCUUUUCUGCCAGCUCCUGAUUGCGUUUGUGAUGUUUGUUUUCAU